rnacentral:rRNA from 1 species
AGAGCGAACGCUGGCGGCAGGCCUAACACAUGCAAGUCGAGCGCGUGUAGCAAUACACGAGCGGCAGACGGGAGAGUAACACGUGGGAACGCGCCCUUCGGUUCGGAAUAACUCAGGGAAACUUGAGCUAAUACCGGAUACGCCCUUACGGGGAAAGAUUUAUUGCCGAAGGAACGGCCCGCGUCCGAUUAGCUAGUUGGUGAGGUAACGGCUCACCAAGGCGACGAUCGGUAGCUGGUCUGAGAGGAUGACCAGCCUCACUGGGACUGAGACACGGCCCAGACUCCUACGGGAGGCAGCAGUGGGGAAUAUUGGACAAUGGGCGCAAGCCUGAUCCAGCCAUGCCGCGUGGAUGAUGAAGGCCUUAGGGUUGUAAAGCUCUUUUGUGCGGGAAGAUAAUGACGGUACCGCAAGAAUAAGCCCCGGCUAACUUCGUGCCAGCAGCCGC